GCGCGAAAACUUUACAAUGCGGGAAACCGUGAUAAGGGAACUCCGAGUGCCCGUAAACGCGGGCUGUCCAUCUGCUUAAAAAACAGGUGAAGAAAGGGCCGGGCAAGACCGGUGCCAGCCGCCGCGGUAAUACCGGCGGCUCGAGUGGUGGCCACUAUUACUGGGCUUAAAGCGUCCGUAGCUUGGUUGUUAAGUCUCUUGGGAAAUCUGUCGGCUUAACCGACAGGCGUUUAAGGGAUACUGGCAAUCUAGGGACCGGGAGAGGUGAGAGGUACUCCAGGGGUAGGAGUGAAAUCCUGUAAUCCUUGGGGGACCACCUGUGGCGUAGGCGUCUCACCAGAACGGCUCCGACAGUGAGGGACGAAAGCUGGGGGAGCAAACC
rnacentral:rRNA from 1 species